CCCAGACUCCUACGGGAGGCAGCAGUGGGGAAUAUUGCACAAUGGGGGAAACCCUGAUGCAGCGACGCCGCGUGAGCGAUGAAGUAUUUCGGUAUGUAAAGCUCUAUCAACAGGGAAGAAAAUGACGGUACCUGACUAAGAAGCCCUGGCUAACUACGUGCCAGCAGCCGCGGUAAUACGUAGGGGGCAAGCGUUAUCCGGAUUUACUGGGUGUAAAGGGAGCGUAGACGGCGGUGCAAGCCAGAUGUGAAAGCCCGGGGCUCAACCCCGGGACUGCAUUUGGAACUGUGCUGCUAGAGUGCCGGAGAGGCAGGCGGAAUUCCUAGUGUAGCGGUGAAAUGCGUAGAUAUUAGGAGGAACACCAGUGGCGAAGGCGGCCUGCUGGACGAUGACUGACGUUGAGGCUCGAAAGCGUGGGGAGCAAACAGGAUUAGAUACCCGUGUA
rnacentral:rRNA from 1 species